rnacentral:rRNA from 1 species
AGUGUAGCGGUGAAAUGCGUAGAUAUUAGGAAGANCACCAGUGGCGAAGGCGACUUUCUGGACGAAAACUGACGCUGAGGCGCGAAAGCCAGGGGAGCGAACGGGAUUAGAUACCCCGGUAGUCCUGGCCGUAAACGAUGGGUACUAGGUGUAGGAGGUAUCGACCCCUUCUGUGCCGGAGUUAACGCAAUAAGUACCCCGCCUGGGGAGUACGACCGCAAGGUUGAAACUCAAAGGAAUUGACGGGGGCCCGCACAAGCGGUGGAGUAUGUGGUUUAAUUCGACGCAACGCGAAGAACCUUACCAGGUCUUGACGUUGAUGGACAGAACCAGAGAUGGUUCCUCUUCUUCGGAAGCCAGAAAACAGGUGGUGCACGGUUGUCGUCAGCUCGUGUCGUGAGAUGUUGGGUUAANNNNNNCAACGAGCGCAACCCCUAUCUUAUGUUGCCAGCACUUUGGGUGGGGACUCAUGAGAGACUGCCGCAGACAAUGCGGAGGAAGGCGGGGAUGACGUCAAAUCAUCAUGCCCCUUAUGACCUGGGCUACACACGUACUACAAUGGGAGUUAAUAGACGGAAGCGAGAUCGCGAGAUGGAGCAAACCCGAGAAACACUCUCUCAGUUCGGAUCGUAGGCUGCAACUCGCCUACGUGAAGUCGGAAUCGCUAGUAAUCGCAGGUCAGCAUACUGCGGUGAAUACGUUCCCGGGCCU